UGCGGUAUGGGAUGAGCUCGCGGCCUAUCAGCUUGUUGGUGGGGUAAUGGCCUACCAAGGCGUCGACGGGUAGCCGGCCUGAGAGGGUGUACGGCCACAUUGGGACUGAGAUACGGCCCAGACUCCUACGGGAGGCAGCAGUGGGGAAUAUUGCACAAUGGGCGCAAGCCUGAUGCAGCGACGCCGCGUGGGGGAUGACGGCCUUCGGGUUGUAAACUCCUUUCGCAACCGACGAAGCUUUUGUGACGGUAGGUUGAGAAGAAGCACCGGCUAACUACGUGCCAGCAGCCGCGGUAAUACGUAGGGUGCGAGCGUUGUCCGGAAUUACUGGGCGUAAAGAGCUCGUAGGUGGUUUGUCGCGUCGUUUGUGGAAUACCGCAGCUUAACUGCGGGGUUGCAGGCGAUACGGGCAUAACUUGAGUGCUGUAGGGGAGACUGGAAUUCCUGGUGUAGCGGUGGAAUGCGCAGAUAUCAGGAGGACACCGAUGGCGAAGG
rnacentral:rRNA from 1 species